rnacentral:piRNA from 1 species
UAUAUGUUGAAGUAUAGCUCCCUUUGCCUU